CGGGACACGUGGUAUCCUGUCUGAAUAUGGGGGGACCAUCCUCCAAGGCUAAAUACUCCUGACUGACCGAUAGUGAACCAGUACCGUGAGGGAAAGGCGAAAAGAACCCCGGCGAGGGGAGUGAAAAAGAACCUGAAACCGUGUACGUACAAGCAGUGGGAGCACGCUUAGGCGUGUGACUGCGUACCUUUUGUAUAAUGGGUCAGCGACUUAUAUUCUGUAGCAAGGUUAACCGAAUAGGGGAGCCGAAGGGAAACCGAGUCUUAACUGGGCGUUAAGUUGCAGGGUAUAGACCCGAAACCCGGUGAUCUAGCCAUGGGCAGGUUGAAGGUUGGGUAACACUAACUGGAGGACCGAACCGACUAAUGUUGAAAAAUUAGCGGAUGACUUGUGGCUGGGGGUGAAAGGCCAAUCAAACCGGGAGAUAGCUGGUUCUCCCCGAAAGCUAUUUAGGUAGCGCCUCGUGAAUUCAUCUCCGGGGGUAGAGCACUGUUUCGGCAAGGGGGUCAUCCCGACUUACCAACCCGAUGCAAACUGCGAAUACCGGAGAAUGUUAUCACGGGAGACACACGGCGGGUGCUAACGUCCGUCGUGAAGAGGGAAACAACCCAGACCGCCAGCUAAGGUCCCAAAGUCAUGGUUAAGUGGGAAACGAUGUGGGAAGGCCCAGACAGCCAGGAUGUUGGCUUAGAAGCAGCCAUCAUUUAAAGAAAGCGUAAUAGCUCACUGGUCGAGUCGGCCUGCGCGGAAGAUGUAACGGGGCUAAACCAUGCACCGAAGCUGCGGCAGCGACGCUUAUGCGUUGUUGGGUAGGGGAGCGUUCUGUAAGCCUGUGAAGGUGUACUGUGAGGUAUGCUGGAGGUAUCAGAAGUGCGAAUGCUGACAUAAG
rnacentral:rRNA from 1 species